rnacentral:lncRNA from 1 species
AUGAUUUUGUUACCUAUCUCAAUAAUGGCUGGAUUUUGGACCAAGAACUCCCUAUUGUUCAAUUGCUCCUCCUCUCUACUAUUCCCCUCUCUGAAGUCUGGAGUCUUCAACAAGACAGGCAUGAGAAAAGGAAGAAAAAUCCAUGGUAAUUCAUCAUAUAUUCUAAUACACUUCAGCAGCAGAUUAAAGGAAUCAUGCCGGUUGCUGCGACACCAGACAGAGAGCAAAGAAAUCCUCUCCACUCCCCAUGGGUUUAUAGAAGUCUAUCAAUCACUCUGUCAGUCUUCCGGAUCAUUAUUCAAGUUGCUGUCCCCAAUUUUGCUGGGUAUAUCAGAUCAGCUCCAGCUCCAUAGGUCCUUCCCAGCUCUGGGAUAUCAGAUGGACCGUAUGUUUUCUUCCUAUUUUUAAAGACAGCAAAGUGGAAAACUGGUGAAUAUUAUAAGGACACACUGAAGAGUGCACUGUUACUAUGGCAAUAAACAAGAGAACAAAUAUCCA